CCUACGGGCGGCAGCAGUGGGGAAUAUUGGACAAUGGGGGCAACCCUGAUCCAGCCAUGCCGUGUGUGUGAAGAAGGCCCUCGGGUUGUAAAGCACUUUCAGUGAGGAAGAACGCCUGGUGGUUAAUACCCAUCAGGAAAGACAUCACUCACAGAAGAAGCACCGGCUAACUCCGUGCCAGCAGCCGCGGUAAUACGGAGGGUGCGAGCGUUAAUCGGAAUUACUGGGCGUAAAGCGCGCGUAGGUGGCUUGAUAAGCCGGUUGUGAAAGCCCCGGGCUCAACCUGGGAACGGCAUCCGGAACUGUCAAGCUAGAGUGCAGGAGAGGAAGGUAGAAUUCCCGGUGUAGCGGUGAAAUGCGUAGAGAUCGGGAGGAAUACCAGUGGCGAAGGCGGCCUUCUGGACUGACACUGACACUGAGGUGCGAAAGCGUGGGUAGCAAACAGGAUUAGAUACCCUGGUAGUC
rnacentral:rRNA from 1 species